rnacentral:rRNA from 1 species
UCUGGCUCAGGAUGAACGCUGGCGGCGUGCCUAAUACAUGCAAGUCGAACGAGGUAGCAAUACCGAGUGGCGAACGGGUGAGUAACACGUAGGUAACCUGCCCUUAAGCUUGGGAUACCCAGAGGAAACUUUGGCUAAUACCGGAUAACAACAGAGAAGGCAUCGUUCUUUGCUUGAAAGGCCCUUCAAGGGUCACUUAAGGAUGGACCUGCGGCGCAUUAGCUAGUUGGUGAGAUAACAGCCCACCAAGGCGAGGAUGCGUAGCCGAACUGAGAGGUUGAUCGGCCACAUUGGAACUGAGACACGGUCCAAACUCCUACGGGAGGCAGCAGUAAGGAGUUUUCGGCAAUGGGGGAAACCCUGACCGAGCAACGCCGCGUGAGCGAUGACGGCCCUAUGGGUUGUAAAGCUCUGUUGUAAGCCAUGAAUGAUAGCUUGAGGAAAUGCAAGUUAUUUGACGACAGCUUACCAGAAAGCCACGGCUAACUACGUGCCAGCCGCAGC